CUUCAUCUCUUUUCCUUACUUACUCUCUUCUUUUUCCAUUUUUUCCCCAGAUUUUCCAGCUCCUUUUUGUUUUAUCUGGGUCAACUCCCCCUUAAUGACCUGAAGGUCAUCUCCUUUUAACUUUCCAGACUUGGAAGAAGAUCCUCGCUGUCCACUCUUAGAACUGAAGUCACUUUUGCCCCGUCAUGAGGUGUUUCCUGAUACAUAGUGGCAGUUUGAGGGAACUACAGCUGGAGCGAAAGGAGGAGGAACACUUGUUGGCCGCCUCCGCUGUUUGCAGACCCGCCGGCUGUGUGACGAGCUUCCUCCACACCCUCCCUGGAUCCUGCAAUGAAUAAACUCUAGCUGUGGAAAGAACAGCAAACACAGGUAGGUAUCACCCUGUGGCAGGCCAACUACAGGGGCAGUGAGAGCCGAGACAAUCAGUAAAUACGAAGGGCAUAAUGAUCAGGAUGGGGAGAUGGCUUUUUUUUUUUUUUUUUUUUUUGCAUUAGAUGAUUAGCUCUUUAGUACUAGAGCUAUGCCAUUUUUGUGAGUUGAAAAAUACUCUAAGCAUUUAAGACAAGUGGGAAACCAAAGUUCAGUUUUUAGGAACCGUUUAGGCGUUUAAUCGUUUUGAUUUCUUCAUAUUCACACUGAGGCUGUAUUCCUCAUAUCCUCCGGUAGGAUUGAGUUGGAUUAUUUUGGCCCAUCUCAGAUUUGGCUUAAGUGGUUUUGCCCCCCAAACCUUUUGGCGGUAAGAGAUUAGACCUUGCCACUCAAAGCGUGGUCCACGGUGCAUCAGCAUGCAUCAGCAUGAUCGUCACCUGAGAGGUUGUUAGAAGCCACAAUCUCAGAAUCUGCAUUAUAACGAGAUCCCCAGGUGGCUUGAAAAUUGCAGUCUUAGAAGCACUGAAUUGGGUCUCAACCCUGGCUGCACAUUCAAAUCAUCUAAAAACCUUAAAAAAAAAAAAAACAACAACAACAAACCACUAAUGCCUGGACCCGAAGCCCAGAGAUUCUGAUCUAAUUGCUCUAGCAUAGAACCAGGCAUUGAGAAUUUUUACC
rnacentral:lncRNA from 12 species